UUCUAUUUAAGUUCAAAGGUUCAAGCACAGGUUUGUUAUUUAGGUAAAGUCUGUCAUGAGGUUUGUUGUACAGAUCAUUUCAUUACUCCGGUAUUAAGCCUAGUCCCAUUUCGUUGUUUUUCCUGAUCUUCUUCCUUCUCUCAUUCUCCACUCUCUGAAAGGCUCUAGUGUGUGUUGUUCUUCCGCCUGUUUUAUGUUCCUGUGUUCUCAUCAUUUAGCUCCCACUUGCAAGUGAAAAUAUCUGGUAUUUGUAUUUUGUGUUCCUGCAUUAGUUUGCUAAGAAUAAUAGUCUCCAGCUCCAUCUAUGUCCCUGAAGAGAACAUGAUCGCAUUCUUUUGUGGCUGCCCAGGGUUUUUUGGUGUAUAUGUACCACAUUUUCUUUAUCCAGUCUACCAUUGAUGGGCAUUUAGCUUGAUUCCAUAUUUUUGCUAUUGUGAACAGUGCUGCCAUGGACAUAUGCGUGCACAUGUCUCUAUAACAGAAGGAUUUAUAUUCCUUUGGGUACAUACCUAGUAACCCAUUACUAGGUUUGCUGACUCAAAUGGUAUUUCGCUCUUUAGGUCUCUGAGGAAUCAUGACACUUUUUCACAAUGGCAGAACGAAUUUGCAUUCCCGAAUACAGUGUGUAAGUGUUGUUUUUCUCUCUAACCUUGCCGGUAUGUGUUGUUUAUUUUACUUUAAUAAUUGCCAUUAUGACUGGUGUGAGAUGGUAUCUCAUUACAAUUUUCAUUUGCAUUUCUCUAAUAAUCAGUGACGUUGAGCUUUUUUAAUAUAAUUGCUUGUUGCAUAUAUGUCUUGUUUUGAAAAGUGUCUGUUUAUGUUCUUUGCCCACCUUUUUAUGGGUUGUUUGUUUUCCUCUUGUAAAUUUAAUUUCCCUACCGAUGUUUGAUAUUAGAUUUUUGUGGAAUGCAUAGUUUACAAACAUUUUCUCACAUUCUGUAGGUUGUCAGUUUUCUCUGUUGAUAGUUUAUUUUGCUGUGUGAAAGUUUCUCAUUUUAAUUUGACCCCAGUUUUCAAUUUUGCUUUUGUUACCUUUCCUUUUGGCAUGUUCAUGAUGAAAUCUUUGCCUGUGCUUAUGUCCUGAAUGGCAUUGCCUCGUGUCUUGCAGAGCUUUUAUAGUUUUUGGUUUUACAUAUCAGUGUUUAAUCUAUCUUAAGCAAAUUUUUGUAUGUAAUGUAAAGAAGGGGUCUAGUUUCAGUCUUUUGCAUGUGGCUAUCCAGUUAUCCUGGCAUCAUUUAUUGAAUAGGGAGAAUCUUUUCCCCCUUGCUUGUUUUUGUUAAGUUUGCCAAAGAUCAGAUAGUUGUAGAAGAUUGGUUUUGUUUCUGGAUUCUCUAUUCUGUUCCAUUAGUCUAUGUGUUUGUUUUUGUACCAGUACUAUGCCGUUGUUUCCUGUAGCCCUGUAAUGCAGUUUGAAGUCUGGUAGCAUGUCGCUUCCAGCUUUGCUCUUCUUGCUUAGGAUUGCCUUGGCUGUUUUUGGUUCCACAUAAAUUUUUCAAAAGCUGGUUUUCUGAAAAAAAUAAUAAAACUCAACCUACUUCUUAACAUAUUUCAAGAACCCAAAUGAAAUCAUGACUGCUCUUGGAGAUGGCACUCUGUAUGUUUCAAUUUACUACCCAGUUACUGGUCUAUUAAAAUCAUACUGGUUAAAAAAUAAUAAACUUGAAGCUAGACCAAUGAAGGAGAAAAGGAGGAGAUUCAAAUAACCACCAUCAAAAACAAUAAGGGCAAUAUUACCACUGACCCCACAGAAAUACAAACCACCCUCAGAGAAUAUUAGGUACAACUGUAGGCGCUUCUUUUUCUUUAAUUUUGAGUUGGAGUUUUGUGCUUGUUGCUCAGGCUGGAGGACAAUGGUGAGAUCUCGGCUUAGUGCAACCUCUGCCUCCUGAGUUCAAGCGAUUCUCCUGCCUCAGCUUCCUGAGUAGCUGGGAUGACAUGCAUGUGCCACCAUGUCUGGUUAAUUUUGUAUUUUUAGUAGACAUGGGGUUUCUCCAUGUUGAGCCAGCUGGUCUUGAACUCCCAAUCUCAGGUGAUCAACCCACCUUGACCUCCCAAAGGUCUGGGAUUGCAGAUGUGAGCCACUGAACCUGAAAAAAUUGAGAAAUCUAGAAGAAACUGAUAAAUUCCUGGUCACAACCACCCUCCCUGGGAUGCAAGUUUGGUUUAACAUAUGCAAAUUGAUAAAUGUCAUCGUCACAUAAACAGAACUAAAGAAAAAAAUUACCCACAUGAUUAUCUCAAUGGAUGCAAAAACAGCUUUUGAUAAAAUUCAACUUUCAUGUGUGUUAAAAACUCUCAAUAAACCAGGUAUUGAAGGAACAUACCUCAAAAUAAUAAGAGCCACAUGUGACAAAACCACAGCCAGCAUCAUACUGAAUGGACAAAAGCUGAAAGCAUUCCCUUUAAAAAUUGGCACAAGAUAAAGAUGCCCUCUCUCCCCACUCCCAUUCAGCAUAGCUUUGAGGGUGUUCUUUGCUCUUGGAUUUCUAAUUCUUUUAAUUGUGAUGUUGGGUAGUUAACUUGAGAUCUCAAUUUUGUUUUUGAGAUGGAGUGUUGUUCUCUCAACCAGGCUGGAGUGCAGUGGUGUGAUAUGGGCUCACUGCAACAUUUAUCUCCUGGGUUCAAGCAGUUCUCCUGCCUCAGCCUCCUGAGUACCUGGGAUUACAGGUAUGUGCCACAACACCAGCUAACUUUUGUAUUUUUAGUAGAAUGGGGUUUCACCAUGUUGGUCAGGCUGGUCUCAAACUCCUGACCUUGUAAUCUGCCUGCCUUGGCCUCCAAAACUGCUGGGAUUACAAGAGUGAGUCACCGCAGCUGUCCCGAGUUCUCACUUCUUGAUGUGAGCAUUUAGUACUAUAAAUUUCUCUCAACACUACUUGACUAGCUGCAUCCCAGAAACUCUGGUAAGUUGUAUCUUUGUUCUCAUUAGUUUCAAAGAACUUCUUAAACUUCUUGAUUUCUGCCUUACUGUCAUUAUUUACCCAGGAGUCAUUCAGGAGCAAGUGACUCAGUUUCCAUGUAAGUGUAUGGUUUUGAAUGAAUUUCUUAGUCCUGAUUUCAAAUGUGAUUGCAUUUGCUUUGUGACCUAAGGUAUCUUCUAUACUUAUGAAUGAUCUAUGUGUUGAGUUGAAAAAUGUGUAUUCUGCAGUCAUUGGGAUGAAAUGUUCCUUGAAUAUCAGUUCCAUUUGGUCUGUAGUAAAGAUUAAAUUUAAUGUUGAUUGGUUGGUUUUCUCUCUGGAAGAUCUGUCCAGUGCUGAAAGCUGGGUGUUGUAGUCUCCAGAAAUUACUGUGUUAGGGUUUCUCUCUCUCUUUCUUAUUUGCUGCGUGUGUCUGUUCUUUUUUCUCUCUGUCUGUCUCUAUUUCUAUCUUUGGAAUUCUGAUCAUUUUAGUGUUGAACCUGUUCAAAUUUUCUUCCGGAUUUCAACUUUUUUCUUAUAGCUAUUUCUGGAAGACAUAAGGGUCAUCUACUCAACUUUGUUGUCUUACUAUUCUAACAAGAAUUUUUCACAAGUUCUGCUGUCAUAUUUUCAAUUUCUAAGUGUUUCCUUUUUCUUUAAAUUUGGUUCUUGUUUCAUGAAAAUGGUAACACUUUUAUCUCUUCGAGAACCUUCAUAUGGGUUUCAGAAGGUCUUAUUUCCUAGCACAGUCCUCAUUCAGGCUGCAUUUAUGUGUCUUCUUGCUCUGGUCUCGGCCAUUCAUGUUAGAAGCUUUGCUCAGAUGCCUGGUGACCCUUAGCUGUCUGUGUCUGUUAGAAAAAAAUGGAGCACUGAAAAGCUAAAAGCUGAUGGAAGUUCUGUGAUUGUAACAUUUUUUGGGCGGUGGUCUUGCUGGGUCAGACCUUUUCUUCUUGAGCAAGAGAGAUUCUCUCUAGAGAAAAAUCAUCUUAACUUCUGACCAAGUUUCUGCCACCCUCAUUGGAACUAAGUGGUAGGAAAACCUGGAGGAUCUCAGUGUUCAGUGUGUACAUUUAAGCACUUGUGUCUAGAGAGCUCCUGCCUAGAGACAUGAAAUUUUACCCUAUAGAGAGGAAACUUCCACCCUGCCACCACCGUGGGAUGCAGUCACCCAUUCUAGGGAGAGGAUCUGGGAUCUAGCUACUACUGAAACAUAAAUUCCCUAGGUAAAUUUAGCUGCCAACUCUUGAACCCUUGGGGAUCCUCGUUGCCUUCCUGCCACUGGCUUGGGAUUUAGCAUCCCUGGGUCUACUGUCAGGUGUCACUGACAGCUUCUGCUUGCCAGUUUUCUAUAUGCUGAAGGGAUUGUCUUUAUUUUCUUUUUAUCUUUGUUGGUUUAUUUAUUUUUAAUCAUCCCGUAUUAAUGUGGUUUAAUGAUGGACUGAAGGCAUAUGCAGGUAUUCAACCAAACAUCUUAGCUGAAGUCUGUGUAUUUCUCUUGUAGUAAAAUCUUAAUCAUUCUAUGUUUCAGUUAAUCACAUUUUCAUAUAUGCAUUCUGAUUUGGGGAUAAUGUGAGAGAAGAGAGAGAGAAAGAAAGAGAGACUCAGACGGACAGAGACAGGGUGAGAGAGAGAGGCUACUGUGACAAAUCUGUGGGUCUGUGUAUUUGGAAGUCAACAGGAAUUUAGCCCUGUUUUCUGUCUAAAAAGCAGGAGUGUCCAGACAAUGGAUCUUGAACUAGGCUAAGAAUCUUUGAGGCAAUGGCGCAGAUCCAGUUGUGUUCAUUUUUUAGUCCUUAAGCUGAAAGGGAAAAUAACGUAAAACACAUUUUAAAAAAUUUCUGGCUGGGCGCGGUGACUCAAGCCUGUAAUCCCAGCACUUUGGGAGGCCGAGGUGGGUGGAUCACAAGAUCAAGAGAUCGAGACCAUCCUGGUCAACAUUGUGAAACCCUGUCUUUGCUAAAAAUACAAAAAAUUAGCUGGGCAUGGUGGCGCGUGCCUGUAAUCCCAGCUACUCAGGAGGCUGAGGCAGGAGAAUUGCCUGAACCCAAAAGGCGGAGGCUGCGGUGAGCCGAGAUUGUGCCAUUGCACUCCAGCUUGGGCAACAAGAGCGAAACUUCAUUUCUAAAAAAAAAAAUUUUCUGAAAGUGGUGUUUUCUGAUUUGCCCUCAGAUAAUUAGAUAUAGAAGGUAGCCAUACAUUUUUGGCUAACUCAGCAUUCGUUGCUCCAUUCAGCGAAUUCAUCUUUAUAUUCAUGUUCUUUCUCUCCAGCUUAAUAUCCAAAAUUUAAAAGUGAGGAAUGCAGAAUAGUUGAACUAAAAGAAACAGAUCAACCACAACCUACCUCUUCUUCCUCAUUGAAAAUGCAGUAGCGACCCUAUCAGAGCAUGCUGUGCACCUCUUGCCGUAUCGAGAGUACUUCCCUACAAGCCACAACGUUUUCCUCUUUUCCUCUGAAUGUUAGGAACAAUAUCCCAGGAAUCGCCUACAACCCCAGUCACAUCUAGCGACCCUAUCAGAGCAUGCUGUGCACCUCUUGCCAUAUCAAGAGUACUUCCCUACAAGCCGCAACGUUUUCCUCUUUUCCUCUGAAUGUUAGGAACAAUAUCCCAGGAAUCGCCUACAACCCCAGUCACAUCUGUCCCUAUCAGAGCAUGCUGUGCACCUCUUGCCGUAUCGAGAGUACUUCCCUACAAGCCGCAACGUUUUCCUCUGAAUGUUAGAAACAAUAUCCCAGGAAUCGCCUACAACCCCAGUCACAUCGUGAGUAAUGUCCUCUAUAAUCCUCUAGUUAUUUGGAACAAUAUCACGGGGGGCUUGUGCACUCUCUCAGAUAUUUGGAAUGAUAUCUCUUAAGUUUUUGAAUAUUAGAAACGAUACUACGUGUAUACUGCCUACGAUAUUCAGAGUAUGGUAAUUCUUUGUCUUUCGUACAUGAUUCACUACAUCACAGAAGCGUUUUACUUUGCCUGUGAUAUUGGAACCAUCGCAGAGGGUACACUUGCUCUCACAAGGAGAGUAAUAUCUACUUAGGAUAUGAUGGCUAAUAUCACGAAAUGGACACAAGUAUGUGUAUACCCACUUUGAUAUUGGAAUGGAUAUUUACGUAAUAUACUAAAAAUCAUAUCUCAGAAUAUACUCAUGAUGUGUACACUGAUUGGUGUAUUACAAGCAAUUAAGUGAAUAUGUACCUCAUGUAAACUGACUGUGAUGGCAUAUGUGUACACAACACAGGUGUAGAAUAAAUUUACAUAAUCUAUAAAAUAUGGACAAUUAUAUGCAUACAAAGGGUACACAAUAGAUAUGUUCAAAAUGUACACAUAUUCUAACACCACAACGAUAUCAUAUAAUCACAACAGCGUAUAAAACCUCAAUGCACAGGUAAUACAUAAUACAAAUGUACAUAUUGCACAAACUAUGUACAUUUACAUUUAUUGUGAUAUUACGAUAUGUACGCAGGUACAUCAUGUACCAAUUAGGUACGAAUGUGCAAUAUAUGCAGGUGUAGAUGUGUGUGCACAGAUUGGACAUAUGUACGCUAUAUACACAUACGUACGUAUAAUGUAGAUAUGUACCUUCUGUACACUAGUAAAUAAUAUAAACAGCAUGCAAACAUAUAAACUAUGUACACACAGGCAUGUACACCAGCUUUGGUAACUGAAGUGAUUUCUAUUUAAUGUGCUAAAAGUAAUAUCCCAGAAUGUACCCAUAAUAUGUACAUUUAUUGACAUAUCACAAUAAAUGUAUAAAAUAGGUACAGUCUGUACAUUUACUCUGCUGUACAUAUGUGUACACAACGCACAUGUACCAAAAUGUACAUAUUUUGUCAAAUAUGUACCUGCAGAUUUCUACAAUGUGUACACCAUGCAUUAGGUACGUGAUUUGUGCACAAGGAACAUUCCUUGAAAUAUCAGCGAUAAAAUACAUAUCAUCACAAUAAGAUACAUAAACACAGUAAUAUAUACAUGUGUAGUAUCACCCAAUUGUACAUAUUGCACACAUUCGGUAUGCAUUAGGUACCUAUGUGUUAUACACGUAUUAUGCACGUACAAAUUUAUCAUGUUAACAUAAGUACACGUUUACAAAUAUGUGCUCACAAUUUAAACUGUACACAUGAAGAUAUAGAUGCAAACUCUGUACCUAUACACAGGAAUGCUAUUACAACAGCCAACAUCGUAGCAUCCCCCACACGCCCUCUGGCUGCUUACAGACACCCGGGCUUUGAGGCUGUGCCCACAGCUGCCACCGUAGGGCAUGUAAGAGCACCCAGGUCCACCCUGGCUACCUACGGAUGCCAUGGCUAGAAAGCUGUGUCCACAUCCCCACCAGAAGUCCUGUAGCAGUUCGUCAGCCAAAUCCGGCAACGUAGGGACACUCUGGCUUAAGGGCGUUUUCCGAUACAUAGCCAGAAAGCAUGUAGCAGACCCCAGGCCAACCCUGCAGCUUAGGGACACACUAACUAGAUGACUGUGCCCAGAGCCCCCACCAGAGGGCCCGACAUAAAUCCCAGGUGCACCAUGGCUGCUUAAGAACACCCUGGCUAUGAGGCUGUCUUUAAAGGCUCUGCCAGCGUGCCUGUAGCAGCCCAGUAGCCCAGAAUGGCUGCUUAGGGAAACCCUGGAGAGAGCACUGUGCCCACAGUCCCCACCAAUGAGCCAGUAGCAGGCCCAAGGCACGCCCUCGUUGCUUUGGGCCCCCUGAGUUGUUGGCUAUGCUCACCGCUGCUGGGCCAAGCUAUUUAAGAAGUGUGGUUUUAUGUGAUACUGUCGACCAUAUCAUACAGAAAUGAUAAUGUUAUUCUCUUUUGCUAUGUAUUAGGCAGUAGUUAUGGUUACACCUCUGUUAUAUUGACAAAAAUGCCAUCCUCACAUCCAUUGACAUUAGAAUUGAAAGCAUAGGGGAGUUUCACCCCUUGCAAUGUUUAAUUCAAUAUAAUUGUUUUCUUGUUUACAUUAGUGACCCGAUCAGAGCAUGCUGUGCACCUCUUGCCAUGUUGAGAGUACUUCCCUACAAGCCUUUAAGUAUCAUAUUAAGCCACAUUUCUUAAAUAGCUUGGCCCUGCAGCGGUGAGCAUAGCCAACAACUCAGGGGGUCCCAAAGCAACGAGGGUGUGCCUUGGGCCUGCUACUGGCUCGUUGGUGGGGACUGUGGGCACAGUGCCCUAUCCAGGGUUCCCUAAGCAG